UACGUAGGGGGCAAGCGUUGUCCGGAUUUACUGGGCGUAAAGGGCGCGUAGGCGGCUUGACAAGUCACUUGUGAAAUCUCCGGGCUUAACUCGGAAUGGCCAAGUGAAACUGUCAUGCUAGAGUGCAGAAGGGGCAAUCGGAAUUCUUGGUGUAGCGGUGAAAUGCGUAGAUAUCAAGAGGAACACCUGAGGUGAAGACGGGUUGCUGGGCUGACACUGACGCUGAGGCGCGAAAGCCAGGGGAGCAAACGGG
rnacentral:rRNA from 1 species